CCUACGGGAGGCAGCAGUGAGGAAUAUUGGUCAAUGGCCGCAGGGCUGAACCAGCCAAGUCGCGUGAGUGAUGACGGUCCUAUGGAUUGUAAACCUCUUUUGUAAGGGAGCAAAGGGCGCCACGUGUGGCGUUUUGCGAGUACCUGAAGAAAAAGCAUCGGCUAACUCCGUGCCAGCAGCCGCGGUAAUACGGAGGAUGCGAGCGUUAGCCGAAUUUAUUGGGUUUCAAGGUUACGCAGGCGGAAUGUAAAGUUAGCGGUAAAAUUUCGGGGCUCAACCCCGUAGUGCCGUUGAAACUGGGGUUCUUGAGUGAGCGAGAGGUAUGCGGAAUGCGUGGUGUAGCGGUGAAAUGCAUAGAGAUCACGAAGAACUCCGAUUGCGAAGGCAGCAUACCGGUGCUCAACUGACGCUCAUGCACGAAAGCGUGGGUAUCGAACAGGAUUAGAUACCCCUGUAGUC
rnacentral:rRNA from 1 species